UGUUCGCCGUUGCAAGUUUAUCUAGCGAGAAGUGCGACAAAGAAGGCCGUUAAUAAUUCAGCUCCUAAAAGAACACGGGUCAGAUUUGGACGGCUUUGAAGACAUUCGCAGUAGGCUUAAACGGGAGGAGAAAGAAAGGGAGACACAAAACCACCUGUCCUGGCGUCACACUUGAGGAGUUGACGAGGAGAUAAAGUCGGUGAAUAUGACCUGGCCCUGAGUAUCCAGAAGAAGGCCCAGAACUGCCGGCCGCCAGGAGUGGAGAUCCUUCGUUGUUGCCCAAAAUACCAGGGAGCAUCGGGCAGUAGUUGCCGUGCCAUGUUGACAGCCAUCCGAAUGAUGAGGUUUACCUCUGAGUGAGAUAGUGUCAAUUUGAACAAUCUGAUUUUUCGCGUCAAGAAUUGAAGCCUGAACUGUGUUUUCCCCAGUAACUUCUUUGGAGUCCUCAAAGGCACACAAAUGCUCAUUACGAUGGCAACAUCACCUGUGACAACCUCAUCAGAUUGAUUUGCUUGUUCUUCGUUGGCGGA